UCAAAAUGACCAGGAGAUGGAAACCUUCCUUUGUGCAAAAAGGAGAGAAAAGCUGGACAUUUUUACUUUAGGAAUAAAGAAAUGGGAAGAGCAAAGCUGUCAUAAAGCUAAGCAUGUUGUGGAGGAAAUGGAUAGACCAAACCUUUGGCCGUGUUCUCAUUGGAUUAUAAUGUGGAGGACAGAAUCAAUCUACCGCAGCCUUUCCUAGCUUCAUGGCCACUAGAGAUGCUGGAGAUUGAAACUCCAAGAACUCCCAGCCAGACUGGAGAAGGUCUACAUCAGGACAAGGAGUGACCUACAUUGCAGAUGUCAAUGAAGCAUCACAAGGGAGGACAACAUCUUGACUUUUCUCAUUCCCUUAUAAACAAGAUGAACAAUUCAUCUAUGUGUCCAGAUGCAAGUCAUCUCAGCUUCAUGCUCACUAGAAUCACCUAUUCAAUGAAUGUGUGCAGAAGCAGUUGAGAGAGAGUUCCCUUCCUGUGACUGGGAGUAUUGUUUCAGUAAACUCCCCACCCAUUGUGUCAAGAGAUCUAUAAACACAUGGACUUAUUUCAACUGUGCAGAGGUUGGAAAUAGAGAAAAGAAGUAGAAUCGUUUCCAUGCUCUUUCCAUGCAUUGGUCGCUACAUGAAGAUCGCCUAGCCAUGUCCACGGAUGGCAUGAUGCAAAUGAAAGCUGCAGAACUACAUAGAAAAGGUGUAUAGCUGCCCAUCUCACAGUAAAGUGACUCUAGGCAGUUUACAACAAAAACCAUUGUAAAAAACUAAAUGGUAAAAACUACAAUUAAAAGACAUCAACAAUAUUAUUAUAUUAUUAUAAUAUGAUAUGACCACUUGGAUAGAAUUAUGCAUAACAAAUCAUAAUUUUAAUUGUACUGUAUCAUCAUACUAUUGGCUGUAUUUUUUUUCCUUUGUAACCAAGUCUACU